UGGUUCACAAGACAUAACUCUUAUUAAAAGUUUUAUUAGCUUCCGUUGGCUAGUCUGUAAUGCCCAGUAAAUCUAUAUGCUUGCUUUUAAAUGAUUUAAAUAUUUCGUUUGAUCAAACGUUUUAUGAAAUAUGUCUAAAACAUGGCUUUUAAUAAUUUUAGAAACGUUAGAAUGUAACGUAUUCUAAUGGUUUAGAAAUUCAGUUUAAAACAGAUAACGUUAAUAUGAGGAAGAAACGUGUAAGUUACGUUUUAAAUAAAUAAUCGUUUGUUGUAAAAGUUGAAAUCAAACUGAUGCUUUUAAUAUCAUGUUUAGAUCAUGAAACUUUAGCCUUGAGUUCACAGACAGGGUCACACAUUGUGAACUCUCAUUUGGUCUGUGUAAGUUACAGACAUUUUUGUCUUUUUCAAAUGUUUUUGAUGAUGCCCACUUAAAUCACAGUUUUGUCUCUUUUCCUCAGACCCUGAUGGAUAAAAGAUGGAUAUUUUUUCCUGGAGAAGCUAAAACAAUGUCACUUUGAGGUUCUGAUACCAGCCUUUACAAAGUUAUUUACAGAACCCCAUGAUGAUAUUCCAACUCCUGUCUACAAAAGUGGGAAGAAAAUCUUAAGUCUAUGUUGGGACCAACAUGGUUGCAUUCUUCUGAGAGGCUGAGGUGACAAAACCAUUCCCAUUUGUCCUUGAAUUGGAAGAUGACGAUCUCUGCCAUAAAGUCUUCGUUGUUUUUGACAGACAGUCACUCCAGCAAUACACCCUCCUUGGUGAUGUUGACAUGUUUUAAACUUUUUUUAUGUUUUGGACAUUCAUUUUACUAAGCAGUGCACAUCAGUGUGGGUGUUUUUGAAGACUGUUGUUUACAAACUUCCAAGAACGGAAUCCCUUUCUAUAAGAAGUCUGUGUAGUUAUUUGUCAUGCUAAGGUAAUAACUCAUGUUGAUCAUAUAUUGACUGUUUGUGCAACUUUGUGUUGAUCUUUUGUGUUACAUUAACCAUUUCUUAUUACACGGUUCUCUAAAAUGCUAGUUUCUGAUUGGCCAGUCGUGACAUU